GAUGAACGCUAGCGGCAGGCCUAAUACAUGCAAGUCGGACGGGAUUCAGGAGCUUGCUUCUGAUGAGAGUGGCGCACGGGUGCGUAACACGUAUGUAACCUACCUUUAUCAGGGGGAUAGCCUCUCGAAAGAGAGAUUAAGCCCGCAUAAAAUCACAGCACAGCAUUGUGUAAUGAUCAAAUAUUUAUAGGAUAAAGAUGGGCAUGCGGAACAUUAGCUAGAUGGCGGGGUAACGGCCCACCAUGGCGACGAUGUUUAGGGGAUCUGAGAGGAUGGUCCCCCACACUGGUACUGAGACACGGACCAGACUACUACGGGAGGCAGCAGUAAGGAAUAUUGGUCAAUGGGCGGAAGCCUGAACCAGCCAUGCCGCGUGCAGGAAGACGGCCCUACGGGUUGUAAACUGCUUUUAUACGGGAAUAAACCCAGAUACGUGUAUCUGGCUGAAUGUACUGUAAGAAUAAGGAUCGGCUAACUCCGUG
rnacentral:rRNA from 1 species